GACGAACGCUGGCGGCAUGCCUAAUACAUGCAAGUCGAGCGAACAGAUGAAGUGCUUGCACUUCUGACGUUAGCGGCGAACGGGUGAGUAACACGUAAGGAAUCUACCUAUAAGCGGGGGAUAACAUUCGGAAACGGGUGCUAAUACCGCAUAAUAUCUUCUUCCGCAUGGAAGAAGAUUGAAAGACGGCUCUGCUGUCACUUAUAGAUGACCUUGCGGUGCGUUAGUUAGUUGGUGGGGUAACGGCCUACCAAGACGAUGAUGCAUAGCCGACCUGAGAGGGUGAUCGGCCACAUGGGGACUGAGACACGGCCCAAACUCCUACGGGAGGCAGCAGUAGGGAAUCUUCCGCAAUGGGCGAAAGCCUGACGGAGCAAUGCCGCGUGAGUGAAGAAGGCCUUCGGGUCGUAAAACUCUGUUAUAAGAGAAGAACAAAUUGUAGAGUAACUGCUACAGUCUUGACGGUAUCUUAUCAGAAAGCCACGGCUAACUACGUGCCAGCAGCCGCCGUAA
rnacentral:rRNA from 1 species